GAUUCGAUCCUAAAGUGCUACAUCGACAUACCAUUCGAUUGUGGUAGUGUGCACAUUAGGUUAUUUGGUGUGCGUAUACACGUAAUAUCAGUUACCCUGUGCGUCAAAUAAUUAAGGAUCUUGUUUUGGAGUUUGGGAAAGUUAGUGUUAUUCCUUUCCUGAUGCGUUUCAUGCAAGUAUUCUUUGAGAUUGUUUAGAUCACCCGCAACGGGGGAUGAAGAGGAAUCCUUAGCUCUUAAUCCUAGGGGAUUAAUAAUAUAAUAACAAUAUAAACACUUAGUUACCUAAGGAUUGAUCCCUAAAUAAAGAUUUUAAGGAUCAAAUCCUUAUAGACAUGGCAGCUUGGCAUUGACUCUUCUUCUUGUACAACAACGAAUCCAGAUUCUGUAAUGGAGAGAAGGAGCAGCCAUGGGAGAAGAAGAAGGAAACAAAGGAACUGCUGCUUCAUCAUCUUCGAGAUCUCCGCCGCAACACCACAGAGAAGGUGAAGUCGUUAGCUUCGCCGCCGUGCCUCUGCCUAACUCCGGACCCGCGUCAACCAUCUUCCGCCUUUUAUGCUCACGGUGGAAUCAAAUCCAAUAGCCUAUCGUUCUCCUCAUCUGCAUCAGGUUUCGUGUCACUACCACUCGCUGUAGAGAAGUAGCUACGCUCGUCGUUCGUACAGACGGAAGCUGUUCGACAUGUUACUGGGUCGCUUAUCAGACUUUGUUAAGUUUACUUUGUCUGCCUCGUUAAAAAGCCAUCAAGGAAAGGCAAGGGAAACCAUAAUGAACCAGAGAAAAAACUGGAAGCUUGUUCCUAUUAAUGAAAAUGCACAAAGGAAGAGGAAGCCAUAUCCUGCAGGUGAGAUGUCAUACUUUGAAUGUUGAGUAUUGUCUCUUUUGUGGGUGUGAUUUGUGGAGGUACUCUUACUUGUUUUAUCUCCAUCUUAGUUAGUUAUUUCAAAUUUCAUAUCAGACUCUCAACUAUUUGAGUCUCUGGUUUUACUUUCUAGAGUAAUUUGAAAACCUUUGCUGGUAUGAAGAGGGUGUGGCUUUCCCGAAAUUUUUCUUAUAUAUAUGAAGCCUUUUCUAACACCAACUUAGCCUUUUUCAUUCAGUCACUAUAUGUUCAUACUAUUGGUACGUUUAUAGGUCUAUCUCUGAUAUAACUAAAGUUCUCUACUUUAAGCAUUCAUUAGUCUUCUCAAAGUCUCAACAUUGAGGAUGUCAAGAAUCAGAAAAUUCAAGAGUUGUGUUUUAUUUCUAAGAACUCCAAAUUAGAGAACACCAUUGGAGAUAGAAUUUUGAUUAGGAUCCUUAACUAUUCAAAAAAAAAAAAUUAGUUUAAUAAUGCUAAGGAUUCCAAUGGUGGUAACACCAUUGGAGAUGCUCUUAUUAGCUAAGUAAUCAAGUCCAAAAGGUUGGGAUAUUUUUAUACAUGUAAAUGCGCAUCUAUAUAUAUAUGUGUAUGUUUAUAUAACUAGAUAUAUAAAUUAUUAAGGAGAGACCGCGUUGAACUUGAAGUUCGAAUACGAAUUUAUUCUAGUUUUUUCUCGUCCUAAAUUAUUUAUUGGACUUACGUCUUAAUGGUUUUAAAUUUAUAAGAAACUACGUAUACGUCUCUUUGUUGUAAGCUCGAAAGGGAAAGUCCAUGCUCUUAGUUUUGGUAUUUUCCUUCGUAAUUUUCUGCUUCAUUCAUUUUUUGAAAUACAAAAAGCUUUUAUAUAUACGUCUUCUCGUUGGCAGAAAGAUUUAACCAAAUUUAUUUAUUUUAGUGUUUUCUGCCUUCUGUUAUUAUCUUAUGAUUUGCUAUCACAUUCGAACGUUAAAAAAUGUGUAUGAUGGGUACAUUGGAUGAUUUAAGGAAUUUAAAAUAACUUUGAUUCAUAGUUGUGAGUUCGUGUCCAUUACGUUGCGUUUUCAUGCAAUAUAUUAUUUCCUUGACGGUUGAUAUAGCU